CUUAUGUUCUUACUGGCUUUUGAGAGGUGUAAGGUCAGAAGGGAUUGCAAUGAUUGAGGCAAAUGUUCCUCUUAUUAUUCUAAGCUGCCCUGAGCCUUUGUUGGGAAGAGGCACAGAAACUGAAUGAAUGAAUGUUUCUUCUCUACCGCAGGUGAUCAAGAAACUUGAGAUGCGGGGCUUAUCAAUUCAUGAUUCCCUUUACCAAAUCAAGGAGGCUGAAGAAAAACUGAAGAGAAAGGAGGCUGUGUUCUGCAAGACAAAAGGCAACAAGAUAAGUUGCAAAGACUUUUGAAAAGCGUCCCUGGAUAUGAAACAGUGUUAGCUGUGAAGUGUUACUUGGAUGGUACUGCUCUAGAACUAUCACCAGUUUGUGCUAUUCCUGUUUUCAAGGUUUGCCCUAGUAACAUCUGUGGACACUGAGGCUGGAUCCAGACAUGCAAGCACAUGCAGUUUGUGGUGCUGCAAACCUCUUUGCAGCGCCACAAACCACACAUGUUGCAUGUUAAACUGUGUGCAGUGCUAGGGCAAAUUUGCUACCAGAAUUUCCCAACAGCAAAAAAAGUGGAAAAAAAAGCAGCGCAAAGCAUGCCAAAAUGCCAUGUGCCAGGACAAACAUGGAGACAGAGGAGCAGGCUGCCCCUACACUGAGGCACCCUACACCCCAGUCAGCUGUGGAACAGCUGGCUGGGUGUAGAGUGCCCCAAUGCAGGGACUUUGCAGCGCACAUAGACAGCCUUGGGUAGCCUUCUCCCCAUCUCCACGUGCUGCUCCCCAGCUGGCUGGGGCACAGGGUGCUUCAGUAGGGCGGCCUGCCACCUAGUCCCAAGCUGAGGCACCCUGUGACCCCCUCCUAUGUCCCCCACCCCAGCACAUGGAACAGUGGGACAAUGUGUCCGGCUGCAACUGCAUGAGUAGGGGCAUGCUCUGCAGCAUAAAGUAGUGGCACAAAUUUGUGCCACUACUAUUUGUGCUGCUGCAAACACACACCCCUGCUUGUGUGGAUGCGGCCUGAGAGAUCUAUCUUACCCUACAUACUUAUCUUGAUUGAGAAGCAUUGAAAAACUAGGAAGAAUUACUAGUUAUAUAUUGUGAAUCAAAUUAUUGUACAACCAAGUAAAAGGACAAAAAUAUAGGCAUAACCUAGGACGUAUACAAAAGUGUUUUGACAUUUUUACUAAUUACAUGAAUGAAUACUGAUAUGAACAUUCUUACAUUUAUAAGGUUUUUUUUCAUUUUCUGUAAGUUGUGAAGAUAGCACAGUUAUAAAGUGCAUAUUUCUAGUGUAGUGCGCAAGUUUGUUAUUACCCUGAAAUAGAAUAGUUUUCUGAUAGCAUACUGUUAGGUUUACAAUAAUUUGGAUUAUUAAGAAGUAUUAGCUUUAUAGCUGAAUACAAGGCAUGACCUGUGGCCUAGCAAUGCAGCUGACCACAAGGCAGAAUGAUAGCUAGGCCUUUGCUUGUGUCAAGUAAUCAUUUUAACUGCACCAAGCAUUUUCUGAGUUAAAAAGUGAAUCUGUGUCUGUGUGCUAAAAAAAUCAGCUACAGCAAGAAGUAAGAUAAGACAGAGAAACCAUUGUUCUGGGUGUACACUGGUUGCGUCCUUGAAAAGUAUCUUCUACUGUGUAAGGUUUUGCUAACGUAUUAUAAUGUUACUGUUACUUAACUUUUAGCUUUUAAAAGUGCUAGUUCAGCUUAAUAGAAAUAUGCUGUUACAAAAUUUAUAAAGCACCGCCCCAAAUAUUGCUUUUUGUUAACCAUAUAGUCUUGCUUUGUUGUAAGAAGUAUAAAAGAUCGCCUCACCCUUAAGGGGGGGCCAUUUUGCCUUUUGCUGGUUUUAUGGUCUUUGCUCGAGCAAAUAAACAGCUGUCUUUCUUUACCCGCGUUGUCUGUCAAUCAAAUUACAGCUAGACAACGGACCUUAGGGAGGUUUCUCCCACCACUAGCACACCUACACAAGAGGUUUUAUUCAGCAUAAGAUCCAGAAAAGUUGUCAAUCCACCUGGGAUAGCAUCUCUCUGCAGCUGAAUGGAUCCCUUGGGUUCACAGUACAUAUAUGCACCUAAAUGACUUACACACGCAUGUGAACUCCUGCUGGAAUCCUUGCCUGUGGGAAGAGGGAAGAAAAGGGCAGAAUCCGGGAGAGAAGCCAAGAGCAAGGGGGUUUUGGAAGUAGGGAGUGAAUGGCCACAGCACAGGAAAUAUUCCAUAUGAAGCCAUAAUACUAGAUGGAGUCACCCAGAAGGUCCAAUCUAGUACUACACUCUUUGGUCCAUUUCUGCUGGAUCCUUCUGAAGAGAUAUUUGGUGAGCAUAUUUAUUAUGAGAUUUGACAGGAAGGCAGCAUUCAGCAUUGUGGUAAGUGGGGUAGCAUCAGCUUCGUGCCUGUAUUCCUGGCAAUCCAUAUCUCCCAUCAGCUGAGUUUGGGCAAAGAUAUGUUUGCUGCCUACAUGCACAGAGAAGACCCUGAAUGCUUUCUACCUCUGCAAGCCAUUUUUUAAUGUCAGCUGACCUGUGGAGCUCAGCCAUGUCAUGUGAUUCUGUCCCCUUGAGCUAGCUUUAUAGUUGGAGUUAUGGUGGCAUCAUGAAACUUUACACUGUGCUCAUCAUUUCCCUGCUAGUAGCACAUCAACCUGAUAGCAAUGUCAUGCUGUGGGGACCAUACUUUGCUGCUGCUAAUGUGCCUACCCAAAAGUUCAUCUUGCCUAAGCCCACUCUAAACUCUUUGCUGAGCCAUUCAAUUUUUACUGGGAUUCUCUUGUUUCUGCAGGACUUUAACUGACAGAAUAUCUAUGUUUACACUUAUUAAAACCAAAUGUUUGAGUGUCUUCUUGCAGGAGCUUGACAUGUGACUGCCCCUGCAAAGCAAAGCAUCCUCAGAUCCAGGACCUGUUGCCUGGCUCCUCUAUUCAGAAGGUAGAGUAGAUUUGCACCGUAUAGACCAACUAAAUCAGAGAUGUAUAGCAUAAGCUUUUGUGAGCCCAGGUUCACUUCAUCAGAUGCUGUGAUGACAUUAUGAGCUCAGGCUAAAGUGACAUGUUUUGAGUCAUCUGGCUCCUGAAACUGCUCUACAGCUGUUACUUAACACACACGCAUGGCUGUGCAGCACUUUUAAAAUCGCCAAUCGCAUGAAAAAUUAACCCUGGUUAAAUCAGGUAUUACAUUAAGAUGGGGGGAAAUGGGGAGAGGGGCAGUUUGGCAGCCUCCUCAUAGGCUGCUGGAGCACCUCCACCUGCUGGCCAGGACCCGUGCAGGCUGGCCCCAGCCCCCCCACCCCAAUAGGCAAACAUCUGUUGGGUUGGGGAAGGAGCUCUAACUCAUGGUCCUUUAUGUAAAGUGUCAUGAAUUAGAGUAGGGCCCUAAAGUCUGUCUAUGCCCUACCAUCCGCAUGCCUGUGCUCAAAGAGUCUUAGAGAAGAGCUAAUGGGCUGACAUGUGUGCAUAUAUACAUGGCCCAGAGACACAUGGAUUCUUUGCCAAUGGUCUGUAUAUUUGCAGAUAGUCUAUAAAAAACAAGGCUAAAAAUGCCUGUGUGUGAAGUCCCUAAAAAAUGGAUCCUUUUUCAUACAAAAACUAAGCAACUAGAAGUUGAUGGACAGACAGAGCAGAGCAGCACUACUUGGUGCCCUGAGCAGGAGUGCAGCACCCAGCAAGCAGCCUUUAGGGUUUUGUAGUCCCCUGAAUGCCCCCUUUUCCUCACCCAUGCACUGCUACUGUGUCCCAUCACUUGCCUGUAACACUGUUGGAUCACAGGUAGGCAGGCAGUAAUCCCCCUUCUAUGCAGAUCCAUGCUGGGGUGGGAGGCAGAGCCAGUGGAGGUAAGGUUGGUGGGUGGGCUGGGGUGGUAGGGCAGCAGAGUGUGGCUGAGGGUUUGGGGCUGUGGGAAUGAGUUGGGGAGCCCUGGGAAGACAGUACAGUAUAAAGCCAUAGCUGCAGUCAAGCAAGUUUGCCAUCCCAAACAUUUCUUGUUAUUGAUAAUCUGCAAACUUCUUACUGACAUCCAAACUUUUUCACUGUGAUUGGUGUUAAACCCCUCAAUUUUAACCCAGCCCUUGUCCAGGCCUGGGAGAAGGGUUACAUUUACAUUAUGCAAAGCAUGUCAGUAAAAAAGUUUGGCUGCCAGUAAAAAGUUUGCAGACUGGCAGUUAAAAAUGGUCUUAACCCACUCCUUUUGGUCAGGGACACUUAUAAAAGCUAAAUCUACAUCUGAAGUCAAAAUGAUAAACUGAAUGUAAAUCAAAGACAGUUAUAAUAAUAAAGAGCUUUGGCGGUUCCAGACUGCACAUAAGAGGUUAGACUGCAGACGGCUUUAGCAUCUGCCAAGACAUCAUUGUUAGAAUCAGUGUAUAGCUCAUGUGAAAUAUGGGGCACUUGACACAAGUAGUUCCUGUUUUUCAUUAGUAAAUUAUUAACUGAAGAAACAGAAAUGAGGCAGCACUCUGUUCUGCAUCUGCAUAGGAAAAUGCUUCCUCCUGCUCAGUGGAUUAGCCAUGAGGUGGACCAGCCUCUUGCCUCCCUUAGGAAAUAUCACAAGAAAGAACUUGAUGUGAUGUCCUGUUUAUUUAUGUCAACUAAAGCAAAGCAUACAAGACAUACUCCUAUCUACCUUCCCUCCUGUCAUAAAACAAUGGAACAGUCAUUGAACCUACCUGAGAAAGAAUUAAAACUGACACAUUGGAAGCACUUUUUUCCCCACAAAACAUGAUUAACCUGUGAAACUGAAUGCCUAUGAAAUGAU